UCAUUUUCGUACAAUCUUCUUCGUGGUAAAAAAAUAUGAGUAAUUUAAUUUUUUUUAACAUCCGUUAAGCAAACAGUUUGUUGAGUGUUAACAAAGGUCAAUAACUCUAUAUAAUAAUACGAUCCUUUUCACGUGGUUUCCUAUAUCACCCUAACCAGUUUCCGUGUUAUCAAAAGCCUCUAAAAUAACAUUAAGAAAACAGUGCGUAAUUUAACUUAUACAAAAGCAGGCUUUUGCCAUUACAUAUUUCUAUGCAACUGUGUGUUGAACGGUCUUGACACGGAGAAUGCCCGCACCAACGGGCGCACACACUCUCACUGAGCCGUUCGAGUUGUGCGCGCGUGUGACACGAGAGAACGAGAGAGAGAGAGAGAGAGCGAGCGAAAUAAUUGCGGAGAGCCCACAUGUAACGGCGGGAGAAGUAACACAGCUGAACCAACACACCAAAGCCCGUCAUAUGAUGAGCGCGGGGCAAAAAAGGGGGCAACAGAAACAACAAAAAAAAAAACACGCGCCCGUCGAGCAGAGGCGAGCAGUUCCGAAGAAACGCCGAAGACACACAAAACAUUCUCAGAAAGACAGGUAUCGAGUGCAGUCAUAGUUCCGUGCAGCUCUUCACUGUUGGAUUUGGUGGUUCGCAUUCCCCUCAAAACCAGGCAGGCAAAUAGCAGCUACUAUACCGACACACCGGAUCAAGGGACCAUAUAUUCUCGCUGAACGCAUAAUCGAGUGUGUCAAAAUCCGCUGAUUGAAAAACGUUGGUGCCCACGGGAGAACGUACGUACAAACGGUGUGUCCGCGCCGUGUGUGGUGCAAAGUGCUGUAAUUAGUUCCGUUACUGGGUGUGCUUCUCUUUUGUGGCCGCCAUGGCGCAACAACUCUGCAACAGUUUCAGUACGAUGGUGACGAAUUUACAAAACCAACCAGCGAGGUGAAGAAUGUGUGUAACUGGUAUGUUAAAAUUGGACUUUGGACUUCCCCCCAUGAACUGCCUGAUAUGCGCAGAGUAUUAGUGCGUUUCAAACCAAAAAAAAGAAACAGUGUCCCCUAGUGCGUCGGAAUGCCUGCGGAAUCUGCGAACGGUUUGCGUUUUCGUCUUGAGGGUGUAAUUGGUCUAGAAAUUUCGGGUGAGCGUGCCACAGUAGGCUGUGAAUUUUACGAGCAACAAGAUCUAUGCUUUCCCCCAUCCCUUUCACUCGUUAGGCAAAGAAAUGGCUAAAUGUGGCUACCCAACAUUACCUGCAACAUUGGAAACCAUUCGGUGAAAUUAAUUUGGAAUCGUUUUUGGCAAAGUGUUUUGUUAGUUAUUUGCUGUGCAGCAGUACAUCACUGGAUCGAAAAGAAAAUGGUGAAACUUCUUACUGUGCGCCACUGCGCACACGAUCACGGGAAACGUCACGAAUAAGGUGGUGGUGUGUGGGGGGCGGGUUAAAAAUGUGCCGCCAGAAGCUACUUGGCGAUUCGUUCGAUUUUUCUCUCUGCACUUUUCGACGAACUGGCCCGAAUCUAAUUGAAGUUAAUUGAAAGCUUGACUCUUGGAUUGAACGCGGUCUCGCGUCAUCAUCCCCGUCCAGUGCGACAUUCUGGACAGCAACACCCCGCACCAGAUGGAACAAAAUGGAAGAGGUGGAACCGCGCGCGCGUCACCAGCAUUGUUCGUGUGCAAUACCACAAAACGACUGUAUUUUUCGGCAGAGGGCAUGUGUGUGGUGUUUGGCUUACACCACACUACCAAACGGUUCUAUACAUAAAAAACGGGUCGUGCGUACGUAAACUUCCUCCUGGCAGGCUGCAGGGAAGAGGGGGUUAGACCGCGUUCAGUUGAUUCCCGCGUCCAUCUCCAUCUUGUGCCCGUAUAUCUAUUAGCACGAGGUUAGGAGGGUUUCGUCGUUUCCUCACCGUUUGCUUCGAUGUGAUAUGUCGCAAGCUUAAAGGCUGCUCUCGAGAGCAUGGAACAAAAACUUGUCCCAAUGCGAAAAGACGACUUGGGGGUUACCACACCGCAGUAUUGUACGAUACACUGUGCGAGUACUGCGCAGUGUUUUGCUAGCCAAAGGUAGCUGCGCAGAAGGCGUAGAAUUGUUGUACGUAAUGCUGUGAUCUAUUGAAACUGCCUUGUCCUCUCUAGUAGUGAGAAUAUCGUUUGAGGGAAAUUUUUGAGUGCGCAUCGUGCAAACAAAAUGUGGUGCUAAUACAGUGUGCAAAGCAAAAGACCACUUCCGGGGAACAAAAAGUUGGUGACCGUGAGUUUUUUUUUCGUUCGGGACAUCUAUCAAAAUUUCAGCUCGCAAAUCGAGUAGGCAACGUCUGGUUCUGGUUGUACCGAAGCUUUAAAGUUGGAGAAUUGUGUUGUGUGAUGGAUUGUCAGUUGACGAUUCAAAGACCAAUUUCUGGUGUUACUGGAGUCGGAAACAUAUAAAUUCACAAAAAAUAGGAAUGAUUUAACUGUAUCUUUAAUAUUUACUAAUAACGAGUUUGAAGUUAUGUAGAACAAUAUUUAAUCAUUACCCUUUAUUAUUUUCUUUCAGAUGGAUUAAUUGCACUUGCAUCGAAUAGAGAACGAGUGCCGGACGAAAAAAUUGCAAUGAGGCCCAUUAGAACGCAAUUUUUAAAAGGAAAACCCAACGCCGCCGCCGACACGAGCCGUACGUGACAGCCAGCUGGCGCUAGGUCGUCCUGGUUUGCUCUGCAGUUAAUAACAAUCGUGCUCGUUGUGAAACGGCAGCAGCCGCAGCAGCCAUUAUCUACACAGCAGCAUCCCUCCAUACUUGUGUUCCAAUGAUGCCAUCGGGAUCAUCAAUUCUCUCGCUCGCCGAUUGGGAGCGCACCCCCCUUGGAAAAAGAGAGGAGAACUCGAGCAAACUAUAUCCGGUACGAAGGCAACUUUUGUAGGAAAGAACGCCCCGACGGAUUUAAAUGAGUUUCGUCCCACUUCUUGGAGGCGAUGAUGAACAUGAUGGUUUAACGAGGACAAUGCUGUUCCACACAAAUGCUGUUCUUUCAUGCCACAAAAGUGUUCACUGGGCGGGAUAGGCAUGAAUGGAUCACGCAGACUUCACCAGCAUCUUUUUGCCAUCUAAUCAGCUCGUGGAUCGUGGAGGUUUGAGUGUGAUGUUUGUGUACAUGAGUUUCUUAACCUUUUCGAUAACCUUCAAUCUACUGUAGAUUAAUUUUUUUCCAGCGUUUAAUGUUUUGCCUGUACGCGGACUGAGAAUGGUUUUUUCUUCUUGAUGGAUUAGCUUUAUGUUCUACAGAUGUUUCGUAAUAUAUCACUGUUAGUUGGUGAAUGCUAGAAAAUGAUUCCUUCACUAUCAACAUUUAGAUUGAAUUUCUUGCUGCAUGACUUGUUAAUACAGUGAAUAGAAGCUGUACUAUAAGAGUUGGGGCACCGGUGGUGCAUGUGAUAAACGGCAAAGGUUCCACACGGCAGGACCGGGUUCAGAUCUCAUCCGGACCGUCCCCCCGUAGCAAGAACUGACUAUCCGGCUACGUGGUAAAAAUAAGUCUAGUAAGCCAGAAAUGGCCGGCGUGACCUUGUAAGGUCGUUAAAAGCCAAGAAGAGAGAAAGAGACUAUAGGAUUUGGUAAAUUGAGGCGACUUUUGUUUAAACUAUCAAAAGCUUUGAAAAUUAAUAAAAAAUAUGCAGUUGGAAAUGAAAUGAAUCUUGCCUCAUGCCGAAUGAUGGUAGAACGAAGCAUUAAACGUCGAAAUUGUCCAAGUAUUGAAAUUAUGAGAUAUGCAAGUAAUCAAAAUAUUGAACGUGACAAAGAAAAAUGAAGAUCAAGAACUGACGUGACCAAAAAGAGUAACGUUUUCUUCUGGAAUAAAUCGGUAAGACUAGGUAAACAGGCAGAUUGUAUAAGAUAGAUCGAGAUCGAGAUUCAUUUUCGAACACGUAUCAAAGCAAGAGAAAGAUGUACCUUGAAGAGGUGCAACAUUCCAAUAGCUCAGAAAUUGCCUGAGGCUAUAUCCAAAGAGCACACACCCGAAAGGCGCCACCCAAGAAACCCCUCCAGAUGUACAUUGGUCUGUACAAUGGCAUAUUGCAAUGGUAUGAGUGAACAGACCCCAAGUACAGACGGACCACCUAUCGUUCAGCAACCUUUCGUUAUGCUCUGGUUGAUUUGUAACCUGGCAGACAAACGUUUUAACGGGAAUUCGGAAAUUUGGACGAAGUGGUGGAAUAAAUGUUCGACUGUUCACAACGAACCAACCAACCAAGGGGCUGAUUGGUCAACAGCUGCCGCGGCGGCUAUCAACCAAGUAAGAAGCGCGCAACUUACCAAAAGAAGGACAGAUAAUUGUGUUGAAUGGGUUAUCACUGAUUUCGACAAUCCUCUUGAUGGACAAAGCUGUGUUCUUGUGUAUUUCCUUCCUUUCCUUCCCAAAAAAAAUCAUCCCUUGUCAUGGUUGUUUGCGCCAUCAUUAUCAACGUUAUCAUCAGAUUUACGGAGGUCAAUGUGUAGGGGCGCUGACUGCUGGAAUUUCGAUCCCCGCUUGCAUGGAGGAGAACCGUGCACAAGAAAGAUUAGCGUCCCUCCAUAUUACCACCAUAACACCUGCGGGGAAUAUAACAGAAACUCAUUCAUAAAAGUCUUCGAACGACGCUGGUGCUAGUUGGAAGCUAGUUCGAGUUGAUUAUAUUGAUCGCCGGAUCCUUACAGUAACGUGGUUUGCAGUAUCGGGCACUAGCAACAGAGGCAUGGAAACUUGAAUGUUAUUGAAAGGGGUAGGAAAAAGAGAGGUUAAAAGUGGGCGCCCCGUCAGGGCGAUAUUGGAAAAGAAAGUUGCUUCGCCGUUGUCCGUCUUGCUCUGGGACAUGCAAACAGACAAACAGAAAUUAUGCCUCCCUCUUCUCCGUAUGUCUAAUGGUUAGGAAAGGCGAUAGCCGUAAGGCAGUUUUAGUUUAUUUAGAGCGGGAUAGUGUUCACGCAUGGCAGGCUGAGGCCGGAUGUUUACUCUACGGUGGUGGUCGAUGCAGUGAAGUAAAGGGCACCGUAGGGAAAGUCGACGCAAAAAAUAGAAACAACAUCUGUAAGUAGUCCAUAGUCCGGUUCAAGUCGUGACACUCGGGUCCGUAGUCCGAUCGUGAGUUAAAACCAAGUUGUAAAUGGAGAGUGGACACUGGACAGCGCGGGUAUGCAUGUGUAGCGCGAAGGGGCUUCAGGCCACAAGUAAUUCCCUUCGCUUUCUGCAUGUGCGUUCAUUCACAGAUUUUUGUUCCAAUUUAAAGACUAGGCGGCAUGCGGAAGAGUGGAGAGAAAGAGGAGUUAGCUGAUUAUCUGAAGUAUGCGAGCAUAGGGGCCCAUUGCUGAGGUCGAAAGCCAAAUGGUACAUGGAUCACAGCUAUGUGUGCAUUCCUUUGCGUUGUUCCUAAACAGGACGUGUGUUUUGCAAUGGAAUUUGUAUAAUCGUUUUUUCCUAUUUAUUAGCUGGAUUGGCAUCAUCACCUAUUAAACAUAUUUUUUGUUCGUUUCUUUUCAAUUUCUUUCAUUUGAAUGCUUUGUUGAUAGUGCUGAAGCGUGAACUCCAUGUGGUGUGUAUUUUUUUUACUUACGAAAAUCGUACAUAUGCGUUAAGUAUAUGCCAUAUCCGGUCCAUAUGUUGUAAAAACAUGUGAAGAAGAAUACAUCGUGUGCUUUAUUUAGAUGAGUUUAAACCCUGUUGGACUGCCGCUACUAUGAAUAUGAUAGUACUACUGAAAGCCAUAAGGUACGCACAAACGCAUUUGUCGCCAGUGAUCGAAAAUUCCUGCUUCGCGGCUUAUACCCUUAAUCAUAAUUUUAACACAUUUUUAACGAGAACAGCCCCAGUUCCCAGUACAGUGAAAAAAGGGUUUUUUUGUCAGAGUAAAGAGGUAGAGAGCACUACUGGGCUCCAUAAAAGCAUAAAUCAACGAUAAUUGUUCGUCGAUUACAUUUUAAUUUACACAUCACCAUGGUCUCUCACGCAGACGUGCACAUAAUACGAGCGCGCACAGUCCGGCGCAGCUCGAAUGGAACCGAAUUUUUGUGCGUCCUCGGCAAAAAAGAAGGGAAUCGAAGAAAGAGCAGAUAACCGUCCGCCGCCGCCGCCGCCGCCGCCCUGUUUCGAUCCGGAGCGCGCAUGUGUGUACGGCUAAAUAUCAUUCGCGUCCGGAUUGUUCCUACAUUUACCUUUCGUACAGAUGAUAUGAAAGAAAGGACCCUUCGAGAAACGCGCGGAAUCAGUUUGUACUACAAUGUGUUCGGUUCAUGGUUUUAAUUUCUGUACCAGACGGUGGCGCACUAAUUAAUGGUUCAAUUUGUAGCGCACAGUUGUUGUUGUGUGCGGUCAGUCACUGUGACUUGUGUUUUAUAAUAUUGUAUUUGCUUAUUUAUGUGCGCUGCUAUCGGAUACGUUCGUUCAGCUAAUUUUUCUUUUCUUCUUUCAGCUGCUAAAUCUAAUCAAGGAAUUUCUUACCCACCCUCAAAUGGAGAGCAGCACCCAGCCACCACCACCAGAGCAGAGUUCCAGCGCACCGUUGACUAUGCUUAUGCUCCAAACACAAGGCAGGGAGGCGAAUUUCUUCAUCAAUUAGCCUGUCAGCUACGGCAACUAUGCGCUGGCGUGUGGAGUUUGAACGCAUUCCAUUCGCGCGGCCACACAUGGGGAAGAUGAUGGUACCGGUCGGUUUCCCGACCCCCGACCCUGUACUCAACCUUGCAACCGUGGUUGCUCAAGCACGUCAAACUUUUUUUGUUGUUAAGGUAUCUUUGAACUUUUCUGUGCGUUUUUUUUCGCGUGCAAAAAUGGCCCUCCAAAUCGAUUUGCAGUUCGUCGACCGUUUGCGUUCCAUUACCGACAGAGAGUGGCGAAAGGGCAUUGUGGGUGCGUGUGACAGCGAGAUAAAACCAGUCGUCGGUCCAGUCGGUGGUGUUCGAUUCCUUCCUUGCGGCAGGUAGCUUUCUUUUGGAAUCUUUUCUUCUCAUCUGCAGGACCAUCAAAAAUUUCGGUGCAUAAGUGGUACAAUGAGACGAUUGCAGCAGCAGGGGUAGGCUGAGCAACUCCCGAGGACAUAGCCGGUAUCUGUCGGACCGCCGUGAUUGAAGUGAUCAUCUCAAAGUGAAGAAACCCGCGAUAUUUUGGUUAUACGGUGUGCUUUUUGUGCUUUUCGACGCACGGAGGAGAUCGCGUUUCGGUUCAGGUCGCAGUCGCGCGCACGUUUUGGGGUCGGAAUGGGGAAUGAAAUGUAAUCACAGAA